rnacentral:rRNA from 1 species
CUACGGGUCGCUGCAGUGAGGAAUAUUGCACAAUGGGGGGAACCCUGAUGCAGCAACGCCGCGUGGAGGAUGACGCAUUUCGGUGUGUAAACUCCUUUUAUAUGUCAAGAAAAUGACGGUAGCAUAUGAAUAAGCACCGGCUAACUCCGUGCCAGCAGCCGCGGUAAUACGGAGGGUGCAGGCGUUACUCGGAAUCACUGGGCGUAAAGGACGCGUAGGCGGGUUGGAAAGUCAGGUGUGAAAUCCUACAGCUUAACUGUAGAACUGCACUUGAAACUUCUAAUCUAGAGUAUGGGAGGGGGAGAUGGAAUUAGUAGUGUAGGGGUAAAAUCCGUAGAUAUCACUAGGAAUACCUAAAGCGAAGGCGAUCUCCUGGAACAUUACUGACGCUAAGGCGUGAAAGCGUGGGGAGCAAACAGGAUUAGAUACCCUCGUAGUC